rnacentral:rRNA from 1 species
UACGUAGGGUGCGAGCGUUAAUCGGAAUUACUGGGCGUAAAGCGUGCGCAGGCGGUUCGUGAUGUCUGAUGUGAAAGCCCCGGGCUCAACCUGGGAAUUGCAUUGGAAACUAGCGGGCUGGAGUGUGGCAGAGGGGGGUGGAAUUCCACGUGUAGCAGUGAAAUGCGUAGAGAUGUGGAGGAACACCGAUGGCGAAGGCAGCCCCCUGGGCUAACACUGACGCUCAGGCACGAAAGCGUGGGGAGCAAACAGG